UGGGGAAUCUUGCACAAUGGGCGAAAGCCUGAUGCAGCAACGCCGCGUGCGGGAAGAAGGCCCUCGGGUUGUAAACCGCUUUCAGAAGGAACGAAACUGACGGUACUUUCAGAAGAAGGUGCGGCCAACUACGUGCCAGCAGCCGCGGUGACACGUAGGCACCAAGCGUUGUCCGGAUUUAUUGGGCGUAAAGAGCUCGUAGGCGGUUCAGUAAGUCGGGUGUGAAAACUUUGGGCUUAACCCAAAGCGUGCAUCCGAUACUGCUGUGACUUGAGUACGGUAGGGGAGCGGGGAAUUCCUAGUGUAGCGGUGAAAUGCGCAGAUAUUAGGAGGAACACCGGUGGCGAAGGCGCCGCUCUGGGCCGAAACUGACGCUGAGGAGCGAAAGCAUGGGUAGCAAACAGGAUUAGAUACCCUAGUAGUCCCUGAGCGGGCUGGCAAGGCGCAU
rnacentral:rRNA from 1 species